AUUGAACGCUGGCGGCGUGCCUAACACAUGCAAGUCGAGCGGUAACAGGUGUAGCAAUACAUGCUGACGAGCGGCGAACGGGUGAGUAAUGCUUCGGAAUCUGCCCAUGUAGUGGGGAAUAACCAGCCGAAAGGUUGGCUAAUACCGCAUACGACCCUUGCCCACAAGGCAAAGGUGAAAGCAGGGGAUCGCAAGACCUUGCGCUAUUGGAUGAGCCGAAGUCGGAUUAGCUAGUUGGUAGGGUAACGGCCUACCAAGGCGACGAUCCGUAGCUGGUCUGAGAGGACGACCAGCCACACUGGGACUGAGACACGGCCCAGACUCCUACGGGAGGCAGCAGUGGGGAAUAUUGGACAAUGGGGGCAACCCUGAUCCAGCGACGCCGCGUGUGUGAAGAAGG
rnacentral:rRNA from 1 species